rnacentral:rRNA from 1 species
UUAGAGGCCUGCCUGCCCAGUGACAAACGUUCAACGGCCGCGGUAUCCUGACCGUGCAAAGGUAGCAUAAUCACUUGUUCCUUAAUUGGGGACUGGAAUGAAUGGCCUCACGAGGAUUCAACUGUCUCUUACCUCUAAUCAGUGAAAUUGACCUCCCCGUGAAGAGGCGGGGAUGCCACAACAAGACGAGAAGACCCUAUGGAGCUUUAAUUUCCUGACUUAACUAUUAAGCUAUAAACCCUCCUGGACUAAAAGAAAAAGAAAUAAGUCAGUAAUUUCGGUUGGGGUGACCUCGGAGAAUAAAACAACCUCCGAAUGACUUUAACUAAGACCAACAAGUCAAAGUUCUAAAAAUCAAAUUGACCCAAUCCAUUUGAUCAACGGACCAAGUUACCCUAGGGAUAACAGCGCAAUCCUAUUCAAGAGUCCAUAUCGACAAUUAGGGUUUACGACCUCGAUGUUGGAUCAGGACAUCCCAAUGGUGCAGCAGCUAUUAAUGGUUCGUUUGUUCAACGAUUAAAGUCCUACGUGAUCUGAAGUUCAGACCGGA